UGACCUCGAAUCAGGUAGGGAUACCCGCUGAACUUAAGCAUAUCAAUAAGCGGAGGAAAAGAAACCAACAGGGAUUACCUCAGUAACGGCGAGUGAAGCGGUAACAGCUCAAAUUUGAAAUCUGGUCCGGUUACGGGCCCGAGUUGUAAUUUGUAGAAGAUGCUUUGGUAAUGAGUCCGGCCUAAGUUCCUUGGAACAGGACGUCAUAGAGGGUGAGAACCCCGUAUGCGGCCGAGUACUCAGUGCCAUGUAAAGCUCUUUCGACGAGUCGAGUUGUUUGGGAAUGCAGCUCAAAAUGGGUGGUAAAUUUCAUCUAAAGCUAAAUAUUGGCCAGAGACCGAUAGCGCACAAGUAGAGUGAUCGAAAGAUGAAAAGCACUUUGGAAAGAGAGUUAAACAGUACGUGAAAUUGUUGAAAGGGAAGCGCUUGCAACCAGACUUGGGCACUGUGGAUCAUCCGAGGUUCUCCUCGGUGCACUCGGCAGUGCGCAGGCCAGCAUCAGUUUGGGUGGUUGGAUAAAGACUUGUGGAAUGUAGCUCCUUUCGGGGAGUGUUAUAGCCACAGGUGCCAUGCGACCAACC
rnacentral:ncRNA from 1 species